UAAAUUCUACCUGAGGCAGAGUUAGGACUAGUUUAGGCACACAUGACAGCUUGUGACACAUUGAGCCUUAAAGGUAAUGAUACCAAAGUUUGUAACGAAAAAGUGGAACCGGCUGAGGCUAUGAUAUUUAAGUAGAGUAGGUGAUGACAGCCAAUUAUAUGAUGAUUUUAGUAGUAAAUUAGAGUAGUUUUAAUAGUAAUUGAAGUCCAAAAGUAAGCAAAUACCAAGAAAAGUGAAGUUACAAGACCCAGAAGCAAGAAAAGUGGAAAAAGCAGCAAAAAAAGGCAAAAAUUGAAGAAAAUCUGCAGAAAAUCUUUUCCAUCGUGGCACGAUGAUGACUUGAAGAAUACGCAUAAAACCCUGAGAAGAUCUUCCAUCGCACCACGAUAGGAUCCAUCGUGGCCACGAUGAGGCGAAUAUACACGCCAUCGUGGUCACGAUGGUUGCGAUGGAUGCGCAGAAAAAGCUCAAACCCAGCUGAAAAACUAUAAAUAAAGUCUCCUUCCUCCACUAUUAUUCAUUCAAAAACAUUCAGAAAUAUUGAGACAUGUUCAAUAUUCACUCUAAAGUAGGAGAACUCUAAGGAGAAGGCAUGUCCUCUAGAGUAUUUUUUGUGCAUUUUUUUAUAAGUUUCCUUCCACAUGUUUAGGGAACUCAUGAUCGUAUCAGAACUCCAAGGCCAACAAGGUUAGGUGGAGUCGAUGAACUCCCUUACGAAUGCUUGGUUUGUAAUUUAUAUAUUUUUGGUAUAAAUUCAAUUGUUUCUACUAUAAACUUUUUUAUCGUCUGGUUUUAUAUUUAUUUUAGUAUUGAUCACAUUAGAAGAAAAUCUAAGGACCUAGUGGAUAUCGCAUAGGAAACGAAACUAGUAAUCCCGAACGAAGGACGGUAUGCUAGAGCCAACAUGAGACCAUUAAAUUCAGUAUUUGAGGUCUUAGUAUAGGAUUGGAACGCACAAUAAUUUCUACCUUACAGAGUUGCUUGUGGGUAAGUGACUAGUUUUAGGCACACUUGACAGCUUAUGACACACGGAGUCACCGAGGUAAUGAUACCAACCUUAUAUACAAAAAAGUGGAACUUCGGGGCGAUGAUGCUUAAAUAGAGUAAGGGUAACCUUUAACUAGGCGUUGUAUAACUUGUAAUAGAAAUAGGAACAGAUAGUGCUUCAAACCUAUUUUCAACAGUCUAAGUUCUAAUAGAGGGAAAUAAUUGAGCAACCAAGCAGGAGUAAGGGAGAGAUCCGACCACACUUAACCACCCCGUGUGGUCACACACACACCUUUUACUUUUCAGUCAUUUAAUUUCAGCAUUUAUUUCCUGUCAUUUACUAAUUACCCGCAAAGAUACCUUCUCAAAACAAAUAAAGCGAAGACAACUACAAUAUUCUUAAGCGAAAUUAGUAACCUUGGCACAAUCCUUGUGGAGAACGAUAAACUUAUCACUUUAUUACUUGGUAGCGAUUCUGUGCACUUGCAGAACCACCGUCAGUAGGGCAACCUAAACUAGGCUCUGAACAGUUUGUAAUAGAAAUAGGGAACAAGUGCUUCCGAACCUAUUUUAGAAGACUAAUCCUGAUAGAGGGAAACAAGGGAAUUAACCACCAAACAGGAGUAAGGGAUGGAUUCGAAAACACUUAACCACCCUGCGUGGACACACACACACCUUUUAUUUAUUCUUUCAGUCAUUUAUUUUCCUGCAAUUUAUUUUAUCAGCACAACUAUCUCC
rnacentral:lncRNA from 1 species